GGGAUGGUGGCCGUCAGGGCUCAGAAACCACCCAGACCAAGAAAUGUUGAGGACAUGUUGGGUCCUGAGAAGCCAAGCCCAGCGGGAACUCUAGACCCUUCUCUCCAGCUGAGAACCUCCUGCCUAGACUGGAAAUGUCUGCGCUGAAAUCCCUGCUUCUAAGUCUCCAGUGGAACAGCAGCCACAACAACGACGAUAGUGCCAGACAGGGGGACUUCACAGGGUCGGAGGGCGGCCUGGUUGGCUCAGUGCUGCACCCCUGGGUCCUGGAGUGUGCCGGGUUCAUGGGAAGUCCUCAGUCAGGAGGGGUGAAAGGAGGGGAUCCACUAGGACUACGCUUGUCAUUUCCCAGGCCCUUGGGCUGCCCAGGAUAUGCAGGAAAUCACUGAUUGGGACCCCACCAUUCCAACAGAGAGAAGCAUGGGUCACCCCCAUUGUACAGAGAAGGAGGCUGAGGCUGGGAUGGGAAGUGAUUUUCCACAAGCCGGGCAGGACCCAUUGCCCCAACCUCUGCCUUUCCUCACCUCUGGGCGUGCCUCUCCUGUGGGUUCUGUCUCUGGGGCUGGCUGUCUGGCUCUGUUUGUCUCUGUCUAUAACUGUCUACCGCGUAUUCCUGUCCCACUUCUCUCCUUCAAGUCUCUCUUGUUCCUCCUUCCAGGACUGUUACCAUCUUCCCACCAAUUUUGCAGGUCAGGAUGAGGUGGGUUUUAGGGUGGUGGGUGGCCUAGCAUUCCAUCACCACCUAGAUCAAAAGCAGAGCAAGGUGGGGACCCUCCCGCCAGCCCCAAUAUAGCCCGCUUGGGCCCAAGACUCUAGAAGAGAAUCCAGGGUUGGGGAAGUAGACUGGGGGAGGCGGGGGGGGGGGGGGGGGCGGGCAGGACUGAAAUCUGUUUCUGAAAGGCAGGGAUGGUGUGGGAGCUGAACAGAAACCACUCCUGGCUGGGCAUGGUAGCUCACGCCUGUAAUCCCAGCACUUUGGGAGGCCAAGGUAGGUGGAUCACUUGAGGUCAGGAGUUCAAGACCAGCCUGGCCAACAUGGUGAAACCCCUUCUCUAUAGAAAAUACAAAAAAUUGGCCAGGUGUGGUGGUGGACACCUGUAAUCCCAGCUACCUGGGAGGCUGAGGCAGGAGAAUUGCUUGAGCUGGGGAGGCGGACGUUGUAGUGAGCCGAGAUCACACCACUGCACUGCAGCCUGGGCGACAGAGCUAGACUCUGUCUCAAAAAAUAAAAAUAAAGCCUGUAAUCCCAGCACUUUGGGAGGCCGACGCGGGUGG
rnacentral:lncRNA from 1 species